rnacentral:lncRNA from 1 species
CAUUCGAAGCACUUUUUCCUAGUGGCCUAGUUCCGGCCAUCAUCAGCUAUCCAGCCCUGCGUGUGAAGCAUCCCAUGGAAAUUAAAAGGUUUGUCCCUACUUUGGUGCAGAGGACCCUUUCAAAAUCCACCACUUUUAAGAUAAACAUAGACACUUGUGUGUGUUGUUAGAAAACUGGGAGAAGAAAUCAGGAAGCACAUACUAUUGUAUCAAAUGUAUACAUGCAUAUCGAUAACACAGAAGACAAAGAAAUCCACAUGAACUGAACAAAUGCACUGGAAACAGUUCUGGAAUUAAAGGCAGAAAUUCUUCUCAACUAAACCAGAAUGCUGGAUGAAUGGAUUGUGGGGUAAAUAGAAACAGGGAAUAAUUAAGGAAUAGACUAGAAUAAACCUUCUCUAAAUUUUUUGUUACUUGCA